rnacentral:rRNA from 1 species
UACGUAGGGGGCUAGCGUUGUCCGGAUUUAUUGGGCGUAAAGAGCGUGUAGGCGGCCAGGUAGGUCUGGUGUGAAAACUCGAGGCUUAACCUCGAGAUGUCAUCGGAAACCAUCUGGCUAGAGUCCGGAAGAGGAGAGUGGAAUUCCUGGUGUAGCGGUGAAAUGCGCAGAUAUCAGGAGGAACACCGGUGGUGUAGACGGCUCUCUGGACCGUAACUGACGCUGAGGCACGAAAGCGUGGGUAGCAAACAGG